rnacentral:rRNA from 1 species
AAUGAACGCUGGCGGCGCGCCUAAUACAUGCAAGUCGAGCGAGAAGACGUAGCAAUACGUUUGUAAAGCGGCGAACGGGUGAGGAAUACAUGGGUAACCUACCCUAGAGUGGGGAAUAACUAGCCGAAAGGUUAGCUAAUACCGCGUACGCUCCUUGGACUUCGGUUCAGGGAGGAAAGCGAUGCCGAGGGUAUCGCGCUCUUGGAUGGGCUCAUGUCCUAUCAGCUUGNGGUGAGGUAACGGCUCACCAAGGCUUCGACGGGUAGCUGGUCUGAGAGGACGAUCAGCCACACUGGCACUGCGACACGGGCCAGACUCCUACGGGAGGCAGCAGUAAGGAAUAUUGCGCAAUGGGCGAAAGCCUGACGCAGCGACGCCGCGUGGGGGAUGAAGGCC